UUGGAGGGCAAGUCUGGUGCCAGCAGCCGCGGUAAUUCCAGCUCCAAUAGCGUAUAUUAAAGUUGUUGCAGUUAAAAAGCUCGUAGUUGAAUUUCGGGAUCAGAUUGUCGGUCGUGCCUCGGUACGCACUGGCAUUAUUGGUUCCUACCUUCUGAAGAACCGCGAUGUGUAUGUCCUUUAUUGGGUGUGCCGGGGAGCCAGGACCAUUACCUUGAAAAAAUUAGAGUGUUUAAAGCAGGC
rnacentral:rRNA from 1 species